rnacentral:rRNA from 1 species
GAUGAACGCUGGCGGCGUGCCUAAUACAUGCAAGUCGAGCGAACGGACGAGAAGCUUGCUUCUCUGAUGUUAGCGGCGGACGGGUGAGUAACACGUGGAUAACCUACCUAUAAGACUGGGAUAACUUCGGGAAACCGGAGCUAAUACCGGAUAAUAUUUUGAACCGCAUGGUUCAAAAGUGAAAGACGGUCUUGCUGUCACUUAUAGAUGGAUCCGCGCUGCAUUAGCUAGUUGGUAAGGUAACGGCUUACCAAGGCAACGAUGCAUAGCCGACCUGAGAGGGUGAUCGGCCACACUGGAACUGAGACACGGUCCAGACUCCUACGGGAGGCAGCAGUAGGGAAUCUUCCGCAAUGGGCGAAAGCCUGACGGAGCAACGCCGCGUGAGUGAUGAAGGUCUUCGGAUCGUAAAACUCUGUUAUUAGGGAAGAACAUAUGUGUAAGUAACUGUGCACAUCUUGACGGUACCUAAUCAGAAAGCCACGGCUAACUACGUGCCAGCAGCCGCGGUAAUACGUAGGUGGCAAGCGUUAUCCGGAAUUAUUGGGCGUAAAGCGCGCGUAGGCGGUUUUUUAAGUCUGAUGUGAAAGCCCACGGCUCAACCGUGGAGGGUCAUUGGAAACUGGAAAACUUGAGUGCAGAAGAGGAAAGUGGAAUUCCAUGUGUAGCGGUGAAAUGUGCAGAGAUAUGGAGGAACACCAGUGGCGAAGGCGACUUUCUGGUCUGUAACUGACGCUGAUGUGCGAAAGCGUGGGGAUCAAACAGGAUUAGAUACCCUGGUAGUCCACGCCGUAAACGAUGAGUGCUAAGUGUUAGGGGGUUUCCGCCCCUUAGUGCUGCAGCUAACGCAUUAAGCACUCCGCCUGGGGAGUACGACCGCAAGGUUGAAACUCAAAGGAAUUGACGGGGACCCGCACAAGCGGUGGAGCAUGUGGUUUAAUUCGAAGCAACGCGAAGAACCUUACCAAAUCUUGACAUCCUUUGACAACUCUAGAGAUAGAGCCUUCCCCUUCGGGGGACAAAGUGACAGGUGGUGCAUGGUUGUCGUCAGCUCGUGUCGUGAGAUGUUGGGUUAAGUCCCGCAACGAGCGCAACCCUUAAGCUUAGUUGCCAUCAUUAAGUUGGGCACUCUAAGUUGACUGCCGGUGACAAACCGGAGGAAGGUGGGGAUGACGUCAAAUCAUCAUGCCCCUUAUGAUUUGGGCUACACACGUGCUACAAUGGACAAUACAAAGGGCAGCGAAACCGCGAGGUCAAGCAAAUCCCAUAAAGUUGUUCUCAGUUCGGAUUGUAGUCUGCAACUCGACUACAUGAAGCUGGAAUCGCUAGUAAUCGUAGAUCAGCAUGCUACGGUGAAUACGUUCCCGGGUCU